GCCGGGUUGGCCCAAUGGUAAGGCGUGACUUUCCUACGCAAUAGGCACAGGUCGAGAUUCUGGGUUCGACCCCCAGGCCUGGUU